GUCUGUACCACAUGCUACGUGCUAACCGGAAACCGCCUCCGGAUCCAGACUUGUUGUUUACAACACAGCACAUAACGCGGAAGUCCACCGCUCACACAAGCGCAUGCGCAAUGCAUAGCGGACUAAAGGCUUGUAGGACACCAUGAACACCACGGAGGAGCUUCGCGGCCUGAAAUCCAUACAAUCAACAUUUCAACGGUUUUGUAAAGGACAUACGUACACUUGGUGUGAAUAACAAGGUUCCGGUGACUGGCAGAACAGGCCAGUGGAUUUCUACAACAGUCACCAGAGCCUCACCUCGCAGGUGAGAACCUGUUGUUUGCCUUAACUCUUCUUCUGUGACGUGCUUUUAAAUGCUUGCUUUGAAACUGUGUUUCUGUUUAUCUGCAGAAACACAGGACCUCCUGAAGCCUUAGAAACAUUCCUGAUGCCUGUGGAGAAGAGCUCAGCGUGAAGCGCAACAGAACCAGAGACGUGGCUGCCGAGUUAUGAAGAAGUCCUUCAAAUCAAAGCAGGUGUGAAACAUCCAACUGAUGCAGGAUCAGGAUGAAACUUACAGCUGCUCCAUGAAAGGUCAAAGGCCAGAAUGGCAGCUAAUGAAUGUUUGCAUCAUGUCUAUUUCAAUUUAAACCAACACAAUGGAGAGUAUUGCUUCUUUUUCCCUGUUUGGAAAAUUAGCUGGUUUAAUAGGAUCUAUUUUAGCUGAACUAGAGUCGACUUUAGCCAAGACAGCACCACCGAAUUUUGUGCUAAUGUUCAUUAUUUCCUGCUUGGCUGCUAAAUACCAGGCAAGGGAGAAACCAAGAGCGGCUCUGAGCGGCUUACAGGUCGAAUGCUUCCUCAUGUUUUACUUCUGAACAUGUUUCAACAACGUGUAGCAUCUCUGGAGACCGAAGCCUGAAGCUCUGAGAGUCGUAACAUAAAGAGCUCAUGGGAGAAGCCCUUUCUGUUUGGCUGUGACGAUGCAAUGGCAGCAGCUUAGGGCCACUGUAUGGGAAAAAGAACAUUUCUGCCAAAAAACUGACGUUUUGAGAUCACAGAGAUUUUCUAGAGAAAACCGGAGAUUUCUAAGCUUGAAAAGUUGAAAAUUUGCUGAAAAAAAUCUGAAUGUUUUUGGGUUAACCUAAAAUUUUCUAGACCAAAUCUUCAGGGCUUGAAAAGUAUAAAAACAAAAAUCUCAAGAAAAUACAAUCAGAAAAUUGGAGAUCGAUCUCAGAAAUUUCCCAGAAAAAGAAAAGAAAUUUCAGAGCUCCAAAAAAAA